AGUGAACGCUGGCGGCGUGCCUAAUACAUGCAAGUCGAACGGAGAUUAAGUAGCUUGCUAUUUAAUCUUAGUGGCGCACGGGUGAGUAAUAUAUAGCUAACUUGCCCAUUACUAGGGGACAACAGUUGGAAACGACUGCUAAUACCUUAUACUCCGUAUCUAUAUAAGUAGAUACGGGAAAGUUUUUCGGUAAUGGAUAGGGCUAUAUCGUAUCAGCUAGUUGGUAAGGUAAUGGCUUACCAAGGCUAUGACGCGUAACUGGUCUGAGAGGAUGAUCAGUCACACUGGAACUGAGACACGGUCCAGACUCCUACGGGAGGCAGCAGUAGGGAAUAUUGCUCAAUGGGGGAAACCCUGAAGCAGCAACGCCGCGUGGAGGAUGACACUUUUCGGAGCGUAAACUCCUUUUCUUGGGAAAGAAUUAUGACGGUACCCAAGGAAUAAGCACCGGCUAACUCCGUG
rnacentral:rRNA from 1 species